rnacentral:rRNA from 1 species
GACGAACGCUGGCGGCGUGCUUAACACAUGCAAGUCGAGCGAUGAAGUUUCUUCGGAAAUGGAUUAGCGGCGAACGGGUGAGUAACACGUGAGGAAUCUGCCCUUCACUUUGGAAUAACUCCGGGAAACCGGAGCUAAUACCGGAUACGAACUCUGGCGGCAUCGCCGGGGUUGGAAAGUUUUCCGGUGAAGGAUGACCUCGCGGCCUAUCAGCUUGUUGGUGAGGUAAUGGCUCACCAAGGCGACGACGGGUAGCCGGCCUGAGAGGGCGACCGGCCACACUGGGACUGAGACACGGCCCAGACUCCUACGGGAGGCAGCAGUGGGGAAUAUUGGGCAAUGGGCGAAAGCCUGACCCAGCGACGCCGCGUGCGGGAUGAAGGCCUUCGGGUUGUAAACCGCUUUCAGCAGGGAAGAAGCGAAAGUGACGGUACCUGAAAAGGAAGCACCGGCUAACUAUGUGCCAGCCGCCGCAGUAA